rnacentral:rRNA from 1 species
UACGAAGGGGGCUAGCGUUGCUCGGAAUCACUGGGCGUAAAGCGCACGUAGGCGGACUCUUAAGUCGGUGGUGAAAUCCUGGAGCUCAACUCCAGAACUGCCUUCGAUACUGGGAGUCUCGAGUUCGGGAGAGGUGAGUGGAACUGCGAGUGUAGAGGUGAAAUUCGUAGAUAUUCGCAAGAACACCAGUGGCGAAGGCGGCUCGCUGGCUCGAUACUGACGCUGAGGUGCGAAAGCGUGGGGAGCAAACAGG